ACAGACGUCAGGUUGGAGGGCUGAUCGCCGGACGUCAGGUUGACGAAGGGAACAGACGUCAGGUUGGAGGGUUGAUCGCCGGACGUCAGGUUGGAGGGUUGAUCGCCGGACGUCAGGUUGACGAAGGGAACAGACGUCAGGUUGGAGGGCUGAUCGCCGGACGUCAGGUUGGAGGGCUGA